AUUUUGGGAAAAGUGUGCUUGCUAAUAAAUUUAAGACAGCGUGGCUGCAUUUUAUAUGGCACAUAACCUUAGUACUGACAAAUAUUGUCAUGGUUACCUGCAAAGUAGCAGGAUGUGGUGGGUGAAAGACAAGGUUCAAACAGUAUAAGAAUAGGCUCUUUAACAGAAACCAAAGAUUAUGGACAAAGAGAGGAAUUUAGAGGAAAGUAGGAGGAAAUGUGAGCAGAUCAGUGUUCAGCUGAUUUUUAAAAAGGCAUUGGCUAAAUAAUUCUUUUCUGUUUUCAUAAUCUGAUAAUUAUUAGUUGCAAAUGGUUGUAUCUCAGAAAUUGCUUUCUUUACGGAAGUGGCCCCACAAAGAUUUUUGAAGAAAGUGAGAAUAAAAACUAAGCAAUGCACAUAGAAAGCUACUGCUGCUGCUUGGAUGUUGAGGGAAGAAAUGGAAACAAGCAUACCUUGGGGAAAGAAACCACCAUUGCUACUUCAAAAUAUGACCAAAAUAAUAUUGAUUAUAAAAGGAUACAUCUUCAAAGAAAGUAAAGAAAGACAUUAAAUCUACAGUAGUGUUUUCUAUAUAAACCCAUGUGGAAUCACACUGUCUGAACAGUUGAUCCAGUUUUGAAGACUGAAAUGAGAGGCACAAGAACACCAUGGCAUGAGUGCCCCAAAUAUCUUUUUUUCUUCAUUUCAUUAUGUGCAAGUAGCUUUAUCAGAGUCUAACAUCUAAGAAUUGUUCACCAUCCAGAUUCUAUGAAAAGUCAACAUAAAGCGAUUUCAUAGGAAAAUAAUCUGAAAAACAACGUAUUUAUUCAUUUCAUGAUCACAUCACAGCCUUCACAUAUGUAAACAGAUGCUUGUAUUGAGGCUUGUUAGAAAAAAGAUCUAAUUGAGAAGCACUUUCUGGGUUUCAAGGAUUAUUUCAUAUUUCUCUUUUCUUUUCAAACUUCUUUCAG
rnacentral:lncRNA from 1 species